AGAAGAACAAGGAUAAGAGUAACUGCUUGUCCCUUGACGGUAUCUAACCAGAAAGCCACGGCUAACUACGUGCCAGCAGCCGCGGUAAUACGUAGGUGGCAAGCGUUGUCCGGAUUUAUUGGGCGUAAAGCGCGCGCAGGCGGUCUUUUAAGUCUGAUGUGAAAGCCCCCGGCUUAACCGGGGAGGGUCAUUGGAAACUGGAAGACUGGAGUGCAGAAGAGGAGAGUGGAAUUCCACGUGUAGCGGUGAAAUGCGUAGAUAUGUGGAGGAACACCAGUGGCGAAGGCGACUCUCUGGUCUGUAACUGACGCUGAGGCGCGAAAGCGUGGGGAGCAAACAGGAUUAGAUACCCUGGUAGUCCACGCCGUAAACGAUGAGUGCUAAGUGUUAGGGGGUU
rnacentral:rRNA from 1 species